rnacentral:rRNA from 1 species
UACGGAGGGUGCAAGCGUUGCUCGGAAUUAUUGGGCGUAAAGGGUAGGUAGGUGGUCUCAUUUGUCUGGGGUGAAAUCCUUGAGCUUAACUCAAGAAGUGCCCUAGAAACGGUGAGACUUUCGAGUCCUGGAGAGGCUAGUGGAAUUCCCGGUGUAGCGGUGAAAUGCGUAGAGAUCGGGAGGAACACCAGAGGCGAAGGCGGCUAGCUGGACAGGCACUGACGCUGAACAGCGAAAGCUAGGGGAGCAAACGGG